rnacentral:rRNA from 1 species
UACGUAGGGUGCGAGCGUUAAUCGGAAUUACUGGGCGUAAAGCGUGCGCAGGCGGUUUUGUAAGCCAGAUGUGAAAUCCCCGGGCUUAACCUGGGAAUGGCAUUUGGGACUGCAAGGCUGGAGUGUGGCAGAGGAGACUGGAAUUCCUGGUGUAGCAGUGAAAUGCGUAGAUAUCAGGAGGAAUACCGAUGGCGAAGGCAGGUCUCUGGGCUAACACUGACGCUCAUGCACGAAAGCGUGGGGAGCAAACGGG